rnacentral:rRNA from 1 species
CGGCGUCGAGCGGCGGACGGGUGAGUAAUGCCUAGGAAAUUGCCCUGAUGUGGGGGAUAACCAUUGGAAACGAUGGCUAAUACCGCAUAAUACCUACGGGUCAAAGAGGGGGACCUUCGGGCCUCUCGCGUCAGGAUAUGCCUAGGUGGGAUUAGCUAGUUGGUGAGGUAAUGGCUCACCAAGGCGACGAUCCCUAGCUGGUCUGAGAGGAUGAUCAGCCACACUGGAACUGAGACACGGUCCAGACUCCUACGGGAGGCAGCAGUGGGGAAUAUUGCACAAUGGGCGCAAGCCUGAUGCAGCCAUGCCGCGUGUGUGAAGAAGGCCUUCGGGUUGUAAAGCACUUUCAGUCGUGAGGAAGGUAGUGUAGUUAAUAGCUGCAUUAUUUGACGUUAGCGACAGAAGAAGCACCGGCUAACUCCGUGCCAGCAGCCGCGGUAAUACGGAGGGUGCGAGCGUUAAUCGGAAUUACUGGGCGUAAAGCGCAUGCAGGUGGUUUGUUAAGUCAGAUGUGAAAGCCCGGGGCUCAACCUCGGAAUAGCAUUUGAAACUGGCAGACUAGAGUACUGUAGAGGGGGGUAGAAUUUCAGGUGUAGCGGUGAAAUGCGUAGAGAUCUGAAGGAAUACCGGUGGCGAAGGCGGCCCCCUGGACAGAUACUGACACUCAGAUGCGAAAGCGUGGGGAGCAAACAGGAUUAGAUACCCUGGUAGUCCACGCCGUAAACGAUGUCUACUUGGAGGUUGUGGCCUUGAGCCGUGGCUUUCGGAGCUAACGCGUUAAGUAGACCGCCUGGGGAGUACGGUCGCAAGAUUAAAACUCAAAUGAAUUGACGGGGGCCCGCACAAGCGGUGGAGCAUGUGGUUUAAUUCGAUGCAACGCGAAGAACCUUACCUACUCUUGACAUCCAGAGAACUUUCCAGAGAUGGGAUUGGUGCCUUCGGGAACUCUGAGACAGGUGCUGCAUGGCUGUCGUCAGCU